GCCUCUAACAAAGCUCAGUAAGUGGGAUUUAUUCAUUAAAAAAUACAGUGUUAUCUUUCAACUUAUUGUUUCCUUACUGUUGUCUCUCCAGAUUGAGUGGCUGUAACCUCUCAGAGAGAAGCUGUGAAGCUCUGUCCUCAGUUCUCAGCUCCCAGUCCUCUAGUCUGAGAGAGCUGGACCUGAGUAACAACAACCUGCAGGAUUCAGGAGUGAAGCUGCUGUUAGCUGGACUGAGGAGUACACACUGUAAACUGGAAAUUCUCAGACUGGGUGGCUGUAACCUCUUAAACAGAAGUCUUGAAGCUCUGUCCUCAGUUCUCAGCUCCCAGUCCUCUAGUCUGAGAGAGCUGGACCUGAGUAACAACGAUCUGCAAGAUUCAGGAGUGAUGCUGCUGAGAACUGGACUGGAGAGUCCACACUGUACACUGGAAACUCUCAGGCUGUCAGGCUGUCUGA